rnacentral:misc_RNA from 1 species
GAUGAAGAACGUAGUGAAAUGCGAUACUUGGUGUGAAUUGCAGAAUCCCGUGAACCAUCGAGUCUUUGAACGCAAGUUGCGCCUCAAGCCAUUAGGUUGAGGGCACGUCUGCCUGGGCGUCACAUAUCGUUGCCUGAUGCCAGUUUCCUCGUGAUGGGUGACUGUGCAGGGCGAAUGAUGGCUUCCCGUGAGCAUUGUUGCCUCAUGGUUGGUUGAAAAUUGAGUCCUUGGUAGGGAGCGCCGUGAUAGAUGGUGGUUGAGUGACGAACGAAACCCAAUCAUGUGAGACCCCUACCGAAUUUGGCCUUCAUGACCCACAUGCGUCUUUGGAACGCUCAUGACGAGACCUCAGGUCAGGCGGGGCUACCCGCUGAGUUUAAGCAUAUCAAUAGCGGAGA